rnacentral:rRNA from 1 species
CCUACGGGGGCUGCAGUGGGGAAUAUUGGACAAUGGGCGAAAGCCUGAUCCAGCCAUUCCGCGUGUGUGAAGAAGGCCUUCGGGUUGUAAAGCACUUUCAGUGGGGAAGAAAGCCUUGGGGCUAAUACCCUCGAGGAAGGACAUCACCCACAGAAGAAGCACCGGCUAACUCCGUGCCAGCAGCCGCGGUAAUACGGAGGGUGCGAGCGUUAAUCGGAAUUACUGGGCGUAAAGCGCGCGUAGGCGGUCUGAUAAGCCGGUUGUGAAAGCCCCGGGCUCAACCUGGGAACGGCAUCCGGAACUGUCAGGCUAGAGUGCAGGAGAGGAAGGUAGAAUUCCCGGUGUAGCGGUGAAAUGCGUAGAGAUCGGGAGGAAUACCAGUGGCGAAGGCGGUCUUCUGGACUGACACUGACGCUGAGGUGCGAAAGCGUGGGUAGCAAACAGGAUUAGAUACCCCAGUAGUC